AGGCCAGGAUGAAGCAGGACAUGGUCCAGCUCUGCAGCAUCACAGGGGAAGCAGCCAUACAAUCAGCUGCACAAAGGAGCUUGGCAUCAGCCUGUGGGCUGUGGAUCUAGGAGCCGGCAAUGAAGAAAGGCUUGAAGAAUACAGUUUGCACGUGUAUUGCCCGCACAGGGAGGAGGCAAAGCCAUGAACAGACCUCCUGCUGGCCUCUCCCCGAUUUGGCUGGAGUGUGCAGUUUUGCUCAGGCCGAGAGAGGGCACCCGAGAGCUGAGGCAGCCCCGCCGUUCAACACAAGGGAUGGAAACAGCCUCCCCACACCACACAUCCUUUGAGGUCUGCUUCAUCCUCUGCCCCAGCCAACCUAGGGACCACUCAGACACCUCCAGGAAGCAGUUUCAGGUCGUGGUGAUCUCUACAGGAGAGCAGACAUGGCCUCUUCCCCCAGUUACAGCUUGAGCUGAAUGAAGCCACUGUUUUUUCUAUGUUAACAGAGCUGACCCCUUAGAGCCGGUCAGAAUGAUAGAAAGAAGGACCAGGCAUUUCCCUGGUCAGAGCUUGUGUCUGCAGUGGGAAGCCUCGGACCACACAGGUUCUUCCACAACAGGGAGAGCAAAGUCCAGUUGUUUCUGCUCCAAGGGCCAGGAAGGGGCAUCUGUGCUGGCGCAAACACCAGGUAAAGCCAGCUGAGUUACUGUGACUGUUCAGCCAGAGGUAUGAACUAAAAACCCAUUCCAGUGUUCUGCAAGACUGCUGUCAAAGACAGGCUUCCUCCAGCAGCUUGGCCAAUGGGAGGAAAAUAUACACUCAGAGAAAUAGAGGUCCAAAUACCUUCACACUUCAGGCCCUUCUCUCACAUAUGUUUUUUUUAAUUCACAACCUCUACAAUUACGAUGCUGAAACUUUCCCUGUGGGAAGAUAGCUGCCAUCCUGACAUCUGCAAGUGAAUUGUGAGCAGAAUAAAUCCCUUCAGGUAAUGUUAAAGGACGGCGUACUGCAGUCCUGCAGGACCUGCUGCAACAGCAGCCACAAACAUUGGUUCUCCUUUCCAGAGGCAAUAUGUCUUGAUUGCUCUUCCUGACUGUGUUUGGAAGCUUUUUGAAGAAACGGUUGAUGAAACACAAUUUAAUGCAACAAGAAGUUGAAAUAACCCUAGGCAACUUCCAGAGGGCAGAUGAGCACAGAUCAAAUCCCCAUAAGCAGCCCAUAUGUCCAAAUGUGCCUGGCACCUACAGUGAAACUCACUGGCUGGCCCCAGCUCAAAUUUGGUUAUGGAGAGGCUGUUAGGAUGAAACUAUAUGGCUCUGCUCUUGGGUGCUAAUAAAGGGGAGAUCCUCAACCUCAUAAAUCCUUUAAACAUUCA